rnacentral:rRNA from 1 species
AGCUCCAAUAGCGUAUAUUAAAGUUGCUGCGGUUAAAAGCUCGUAGUUGGAUUUCUGUUGAAGACGAUCGGUCCGCUCUAUGAGCGUGUAUCUGGCCCGGCUUUGGCAUCUUCGUAGGGGGCGUUACUGUGCUUGAUUGCAUGGUGCGAGACUUAUGACAUUUACUUUGAGGAAAUUAGAGUGCUCACUGCAAGCAGGCGCUUUGAAUAUAUUAGCAUGGCAUGAUGAUAUAGGACCUUGGUUUUA